UUGAAGAAACAUGGUAUUUUAAGAAAAAAAUGAAAUGAUAUUUAAAUGAAGGGUUAAGUGCCACAGUAAAAAUAAGACAUAAAUUUUGAAAAUCUUAACUCAUUGACAUCUGUAAUAAUUGUAUUUGUUGUAUCAUGCUCUCUGUAUUUUCAUUUUUAAAAACAUUUUAUUUAUUUCGUUUUUGGAACAGUGUCUCACUCUGUCACUCAGGCUGGAGUGCAGUGGUGCAAUCAUGGCUCACCGCAGCCUUGACCUCCGUGGCGUGAGCAAUCCUCCCACCUCAGCCUGCAGAAUAGUUAGGACUAUAGGUGUGCCACCACACUCGCCUAAUUUUGUUUAUUUUUUUGUAGGGCCCUCCCUCCCUUCCUUCCUUCUUUCCUUCCUUCUCUCUCUCUCUCUCUUUUUUUCCCUUUUGAGACAGGGUCUUGUUCUGUUGCCCAGGCUUGAGUGCAGUGGUGUGAUUAUGGCUCAUUGCAGCCUCCACCUCCCAGGCCCAAGAUCCUUCCACCUCAGCCUCCUGAGUAGCUGGGACUACAGGCAUGCCCCACGACACUGGCUAAUUUUCGUAUUUUUGUAGAGAUGGGGUUCCACCAUUUUGCCCAGGCCGGUCUCUAACUCCUGAGCUCAACUAAUCCUCCUGCCUCAGCCUCCCAAAGUGCUGGGAUUGCAGGCAUAAACCA
rnacentral:lncRNA from 1 species